AAAACGACUCUCGGCAACGGAUAUCUCAGCUCUCGCAUUGAUGAAGAACGUAGCGAAAUGCGAUACUUGGUGUGAAUUGCAGAAUCCCGUGAACCAUCGAGUCUUUGAACGCAAGUUGCGCCCCAAGCCGUUAGGCCGAGGGCACGCCUGCCUGGGUGUCACGC
rnacentral:rRNA from 1 species